AUUGAACGCUGGCGGCAGGCCUAACACAUGCAAGUCGAACGAGUGGCGGACGGGUGAGUAAUGUCUGGGAAACUGCCUGAUGGAGGGGGAUAAAUAAUGGAAACGGUAGCUAAUACCGCAUACCAUCGGAUGUGCCCAGAUGGGAUUAGCUAGUAGGUGGGGUAAAGGCUCACCUAGGCGACGAUCCCUAGCUGGUGUGAGAGGAUGACCCGCCACACGUGAACUGAGACAAGGUCCAGACUCCUACGGGACGCAGCAGUUGGGAAUAUUGCACAAUGGGCGCAAGCCUGAUGCAGCCAUGCCGCGGGAAUGAAUAAGGCCUUCGGGUUGUAAAGUACUUUCAGCGGGGAGGCGUUACCCGCAGAAGAAGCACCGGCUAACUCCGUGCCAGCAGCCGCGGUAAUAC
rnacentral:rRNA from 1 species